GACGAACGCUGGCGGCGUGCCUAAUACAUGCAAGUCGAACGCAGUGGCGGACGGGUGAGUAACACGUGGGUAACUACCCCCCUCUCUGGGAUAACAGUUGGAAACGGCUGCUAAUACCGGAUAGUGGGGGAUGACUCGCGUCCUAUCAGCUUGUUGGUGGGGUAGUGGCCUACCAAGGCGGCGACGGGUAGCCGGCCUGGGAGGGGGACGGGCCACAGUGGGCUGAGAUACGGCCCAAACUCCUACGGGAGGCAGCAGUGGGGAAUAUGGCACAAUGGGGGAAACCCUGAUGCAGCAACGCCGCGUGCGGGAUGACGGCCUUCGGGUUGUAAACCGCUUUCAGCCAUGACGCGGUAGUGGCAGAAGAAGCACCGGCUAACUACGUGCCAGCAGCCGCGGUAAUUC
rnacentral:rRNA from 1 species